UGUUUAUCAAAAACAUAGUCUUAGGAUACAGAUUUAAGAUUAAACCUGCCCAAUGUAUACGAGCAAAAUUAUAAAUGGCCGCGGUACUUUGACCGUGCUAAGGUAGCGCAAUCAAUUGGCUUUUAAAUGGAGUCAGGUAUGAAUGGGAUCACGGAGUUUAGCUGUCUCUAAACUAAUUUAUUGAAAUUACUAUGUAGGUGAAAAAGCCUUCAAGAAGAAAAAAGACGAGAAGACCCUUAGAGUUUUAUUUAUAGUAGAAAAUUUUUCUAUAAUAAUUUAGUUGGGGCAACAGAGGAACAUUUAAUCAAAUCUCCUUAAUUUUAUUUAUCGACUUUUGUAAAUUUAUACAAACUACCUUAGGGAUAACAGCAUAAUUUAGUUAAUAAGUUUGUGACCUCGAUGUUGGACUAGGAAACUAAAGGGCUAGCCGCUUUUUAGGAAGGUUCUGUUCGAACUAGUAAUCCUACAUG
rnacentral:rRNA from 1 species